ACGCUGGCGGCAGGCCUCAUACUGCAAGUCGAACGAGAAAGUAUCUUCGGAUACGAGUACAGUGGCGGACGGGUGAGUAAUACAUAGGAAUCUACCCAAUGGAGGGGGAUAGCUCGAGGAAACUCGAAUUAAUACCGCAUAAUCUCCACGGAGUAAAGAGGGCUUCGGCUCUCGCCAUCGGAUGAGCCUAUGCAGGAUUAGCUUGUUGGUGAGGUAAAGGCUUACCAAGGCGACGAUCCUUAGCUGGUUUGAGAGGAUGACCAGCCACAUCGGGACUGAGACACGGCCCGGACUUCUACGGAAGGCAGCAGUAGGGAAUAUUGGACAAUGAGCGAAAGCUUGAUCCAGCCAUGCCGCGUGUGCGAUGACGGCCCUCGGGUUGUAAAGCACUUUAGGUAACGAGGAAAAGUUAGGUGUUAAUACCAUCUAACCUUGACGUUAAUUACAGAAUAAGCACCGGCUAAAUCCG
rnacentral:rRNA from 1 species